rfam:Triticum aestivum genome assembly, contig: Triticum_aestivum_CS42_TGACv1_scaffold_543786_6DS
GGCCCGAUGCCACGUCUCCGGUAGCUGCAGCCUUGACCGGCGAUGCUACAUUGUGCCGAGAGAGAGUUCUUGGACUUUUCACAUUUGAUAGGAACCUGUGGCUGCAAAUCAGUUGGUACACAGAGCCGUUUUUUGUGAUUACAUUU